rnacentral:rRNA from 1 species
CAUGGGCGCAGCCUGAUGCAGCGACGCCGCGUGAGGGAUGGAGGCCUUCNGGUUGUAAACCUCUUUUAUCGGGGAAGCAAGCGAGAGUGAGUUUACCCGUUGAAUAAGCACCGGCUAACUACGUGCCAGCAGCCGCGGUAAUACGUAGGGUGCAAGCGUUAUCCGGAAUUAUUGGGCGUAAAGGGCUCGUAGGCGGUUCGUCNCGUCCGGUGUGAAAGUCCAUCGCUUAACGGUGGAUCCGCGCCGGGUACGGGCGGGCUUGANUGCGGUAGGGGAGACUGGAAUUCCCGGNGUAACGGUGGAAUGUGUAUAUAUCGGGAANAACACCAAUGGCGAAGGCAGGUCUCUGGGCCGNUACUGACNCUNAGGANCGAAAGCGUGGNGANCGAACAGGAUUAUAUACCCUGGUAGUCCAANGNCNAAUUC